rnacentral:sRNA from 1 species
UAGGAGGAAACCAAAUGAACGAAGUUCAUUUUCAGAAUGGUUUCCGACGACAUGCCGCCGACGGAAAGAAGGGGGCAUUACC